AGUUAUCUCCCGUUAUUAUCACUGCUUAUUAUUAGAAAAUUCACUUUCGGUUUAACCUAUAGGCCUACAUUUGUGUUACAUUUAUCGUUAAAUAACAAUUAUACAGGAUCACCUUAACGCUUAAUCUUCAGUUCAGAAAAUGGAGACAAUGACAGUGGAAUGUGGACUCUGCUUUGUUGAUAAGGUUGUAGGGAUUUGCGAAAACUGUGAGUGCAAACUGUGUGAGACCUGUUUUAGGAAUCAUACGAGAGCUAAAAUGUUCAGCACCCAUAUUAUAUUUCCCAUUGAAGCAAAUAAUAAACGAACUAUAAUGUCGAGUUUGGAAACGGCAAUAUCAACUGAUACAGGUCUUAAAUCGCCAGUCGAUACUGAUAUUCACAAGCAGAAGUGUAAAGACCACACUGAUGAAAACCAGUCGUUUUAUUGCGAGACACAUGAUGCCUGUAUUUGUGGGCGUUGUGUUAUUUCAACUCAUACAUCUUGUUUGGACUCAGUGAUUGAUUUGAACAAUAUCCUGCAUGACGCAGAAAGCGCGAAUACAAGGUUGUCUUCAUUGCAUGAGUUGGACGAUGAAAUAGAUCGCAUAAUGGUCAAUAUAGACGAAAACCGACGAGUGAAUGAUACUUGCAGAUCAACCUCUGCGAAAGAGAUCAAUAAUCUUCACAUAGAAUUAGUUGAUCAACUAAAGAUAUUGAUAACAAAAGCAGAAAAAUAAAGUGAGGACUUAUACCAACAAAAUGCGGACAUUUUGGAUGAAACGGAACUUACAUGUAAGGAACAAAAACAAGUUCUGCGGAAGCAAAUGGAACUUAUUGAUGAGCUAGAAAUUAAAAAGCAUUAUCGGCAUUUAUUUGUUGCACUUAAGAGAAAUGGAAAGAAAAUUGAAUUAGUAAAAGAUCAAAAUGCAAGGUGUAGACAGGAAACCAAAAUUAAGGAAUAUGAGUUUAUUCGUAACCUACAAUUAGUGGAACUUAUCAGGGAAUAUCAGCAAAUUGGAACUUUUACGACUGCUUGCGAUGAAAGCGAUGAAGUAAUCGAACAUAUUAACGAGUGGGACGAAACGCUCAUCCCAUUUCCAGAGCGUGAGGAGCAGGAGCGUGCAAAGCGUGCAGAGCGCGAGAAACGAUACCAGGAAGAGCUGGAGUAUACAGAGAGAGUCAAGCGUCUAGAAAAGAUCAAGGAAAAGAAAAGCCAGCGAG